CACGAGAUCUGAUGGUUUUAUAAACGUCUGGCAUUUCCCCGGCUUGCACUCCCUCUGUCCUGCUGCCCUGUGAAGAAGGUGCCUGCUUCUCUUUUGUCUUCUACCAUGAUUGCAAGUUUCCUGAGGCCUCCCUAGCAAUGCAGAACUAGUGAAUUGAGAAAGAAGCCAUGUGGUCUGUGGCAGCAGCUGGAGGAAGGCAUGGUGACUCAACAGGGCUCUGCAUGGAAGAGUACAAGGUGGUUCUGGGAAGCAGCAAAGAUCGGCCACCCCAAGGCUCUGAGGGAGCCGCAUGCAGGCUCUAAGCAGAAUCAGGCCAACCCCCGGCCUGGAGGAAGUAAGGGAAGAGAGCUGCCAGUGGCAAGACCUGCUCAGGCUGUGUGAGUGGCUAUGGAGACACUGGGAAGAAGCUCUGGGGAACUGGACCAUGUGGUACUAUCCUAGCACUCAAAGUUCCUUGUGACCUGAGCUAGCAUAUUUUACAGUGGGGAAGUACCAGGUACUGCCCAUGAGGAUAAGUAACAUCUUGAGCCCCAAACCCUGCAAUUAAACUUUCAGCUAGUAACUGGAAUUCUUCAUGAAGCCCAUGACACAGGCAAGUAUUAUGCAUAUUUUUAGAAAUAAAAUACUUUAUUAUAACUACAGAUCUCCACUCUAGUGGUCCUAUCACAGAAUUCAUUAUCUAUCUAUCUAUCUAUCAUCUAUUUUGAGAUGGAGUCUUACUUUGUUGCCCAGGCUGGAAUGCAAUGGCAUGAUCUCGGCUCACUGCAACCUCUGCCUUCUGGGUUCAAGCGAUUCUCCUGCCUCAGCCUCCCGAGUAGCUGGGAUUACAGGCAUAUGCCACCAUGCCUGGCUAAUUUUUGUAUUUUUAGUAGAGAUGGGGUUUUGCCGUGUUGGCCAGGCUGGUCUUGAACUCCUGACCUCAGGUGAUCUGCCCACCUCGGCCUCCCAAAGUGCUGGAUUACAGGCAUGAGCCACCACACCCAGCCACAUUAUCAAUAUAUUUUGAAACAGGACUCAUACAAAUAUAAUAUGAAGUCACUGUUACCUCUUAUGACUUCAAAGUCUUUCACCAAAAAUUCUCAAGAAGGGGCUCUUAAUCAAUCUGCAAAGACUUACAAUUGAAAAAAAUUUAUAUUCUCUGAGGUAGAGUUGAUGACCACCUUAGUAGACAGAAGUCAGAGACUGGUGUUUGAGUCCCAUUUCACUAGGACUUAAUUGUGAGAUCUUGGGAAAGUUCCUUUGUUUGUAAAACGUGGGAAAAAAUUAUUAGCCUGUAUCAUAAGAACUUUUUAAAAAUUCACAUGAGAUAAUGUAUGGAAAGUGAUAAAGCACCAUAUGAAAUUAUUGCAUUUUACCUACUAAAGAAACUGAGACAGAGAGUGAUACGGUUUGGCUCUGUGUCCCCACCCAAAUCUCAUGUUGAAUUGCAAUCCUAAUUGUAAUCCCCACAUGUCAAGGGAGGGUCCUGGUGGGAUGUGAUUGAAUCACGAGGGCAGUUCCCCAUGCUGUUCUCGUGAUAGUGAGUUCUCAUGAGAUGGGCUUGUUUGAUAAGUGUGUGGCACUUACCCCUUUCUCUUCUUCUUGCCUGCUGCCAUGUAAGAUGUGCCCUGCUUCCCCUUUUCCUUCCAAGAUGAUUGUAAGUUUCCUGAGGCCUCUCCAGCCACGCAGAACUAGCAAUGGUGUGGCAGUAGCACCGUGAAGCUGGGAGAAGGCCAACCCUGCUCCCAACCCCGCAGUAUAUGAGGACUGGUAAAGUAAACACCCCUCAAUUCAAGACAGCAGCAGGGGAAGCUAUGUUCUUGUCUCACUGUCACCCAGGCUGGAGUGCAGCGGUGCGAUCACAACUCACUGCAGUCUCAACCUCCUGGGCUUGAUUGAUCCUCCUACUUCAGCCUCCCGAGUAGCUGGGACUACAGGUGUGCCAACAUGCCCAGCUAAUUUUUUAUUUUUUGUGGAGAUGGAGGUUUCACUAUGUCAUCCAAGAUGGUCUUGAGUUCCUGGGCUUAAGCAAGCAAUCCUCCCACCUUGGCCUCCCAAAAAGCUGGGAUUAUAGGCGUGAGCCACGAUGUCCGGCAGCCUGCCAGAUCUUGACAGCCAUUUUACUAAAUUAGCAUUCCUAAGUUUCAUUUGUUUUCUAAAAGUAUUUUUAUGAGCACAAUGACCAACUAAAAACUUGUAUGUAAAAGUUCAGAAAUUUCUUUAACAGUACAACUUAGAAUGCAUCUAGGAAAAACACAAAGGCUAUAUUCUCCCAUUUUCAUGGCCAUGAUGAUAAAACUGAAAUUCUAGUUGUAUUUUUUAUUGUUGAAUUGAUUGAUUAUACGAGCUUUGAAGGCCCCCAUAUUUGACCCCACAUUCUAGUACCUUCCUGCUUUCCUCACAUUUUGAUUUGGUAUUCUGGGUGCUUGAGAUGAAGAAUAUGGAUGAACUUCAAAUAAGCAGGUUUGGCAGUUUCCCGAAAUGGCAAAAAUGACAGAACAUGAAGUAGGUUUCCCAAGGGCUUUUCUCCUAAUAGUAAGGCCAUCAUUGUAGAAUAUGUUGUCCCACAUUCUCCCCUGCAAUUCUGGCCUGCUCACUGAGGCUGUCAGAUCAUGCAGGCUUUGACCCAUCUAACAAGGCUCCCCAAGAUCUAAGCAACCAGAGGGCAGGAGCAAGCAGCAGUGGAGGCCCCAAGUAAUGCCAUCUGGAAGAACACCGAUUUUGCUUUACUGACCAUUGUUCUCUAACAAUUAAAAGGUUUAGUUCAUGGUUUUACGGCACUAUGAGCAGUAGGAUGUUGGAUCCAAGUGCUCAACAGUCCUGUAGC